GGAGGUUUAAUCUUUAUAGGUUUGAGAAGUGAAAAUAUUAUCGAUGAAAUAUUUCUAAAUGAAUAAUAUGACACACUUUUCUGACAAGUCCUGACAUAUUGGAGGAUAACAAAUCACAGUUUUCCUCUGGACAGCUCCAGAAAGAAACUGAGGGAAUUCUGUUCAGCUUCUUCAGAGGGGUUCAAACUCCAGUUUGACCUAAAUUUCUCAGUGGCUGCUUCCAGAUUGUGAAACAAUCUUCUUCUUCACAUUAGAGAUGCCUGAACUUUUAGUCAUAAUAAGUCUACAUGUAUAUCAAACUCACUUCUUUGAAAUGUUUGGAACCCUUGUGCCAUCCUAGGCAUGUUUACAUUAAAAGUGAGUCAUCUGGACCCCACAAGACAGCGUGCUGAACUUUGUUUUUUUCAAGGAUUUUUUAUCUUCACUGGUGUCUGUGGCAGACACAAAAUCCAGUCGAUGGGAGGGAUCACAUAUCAAUAUUUCCCUUAAAAAAUGAAAUUUACUUUUUUUAAUGUAAGUUUUUCUUACGGUUUUGCUCUGAUUGCUUAGCUUUUUCACUGUGGUUUUAUUAUUAUUUUUGCAACAUUGAUGCUUUCUCUUUUUGUCUUAUUCUUGUCCAGCAGUGGUCCCCAACCUCUGGGCCAUAGACUGGUACCAGUCCGUGGGACAGUUGGUAUUGGGUCACAAAGACCAGUUUAGAACGUCUGUAUCAGCAGGCGUGCUGCAAGGGGAUUACUGGGGAGACAUUGGCUAUGUUGCGGUUUCUCCUCACCCUGGUCUCACUGGAAGUCAGACCGACCCAUGUUCACAUCCGGGUGUGGUUAAUGCCUUAAAUUAAUUUUAUUUUGAACCAACUCACAUGCAGAAAUAGUAAUAGUAUUGAUUGCAUUUUAGAUUAAAGCAAUAAAAUGGAAAAAAAAGCAAUGAUUUAACACCCCUAGUUUUUGUAUGUAACAACACGUUUAUAUUUAAAAUGUUAUCACACAUCUUUGGACAUUUCCAGAUGUACCAGCAUCCUUGUUUGUGGAAGAGUUUCCAUUUCAAUGGUGAGUUUUAAGAGUUUUUAUGUGUUGGGGUGAAUGGAGAAACUAUCUAAGACAGGGUUCUCCAACCAUCGGGCCCCAGACCGGUAUUGGUCCGUAGAUCAAUUGGCACUGGGCCGCACAAGAAAUAAUUAAUCAUAUCAGGGUUUUGUCUUUUGAGUUUCAACAAAAUUUUAAUUUGAAAAAUAUUAUAUUUUGAAAAAUAUUGUCUCAGCUCCACCUUGGAUCAUUUGACCUGUAAAGUUUAGUGAAGGGAGAAAAAUGACUGACUGAAUGAUCUUUUAUUUUGAAUUAUUUUUGGGUUUUGACAGGAUUCUCUGGGUUACAUUUUCUGCUAUAUUUAGUCUGCCACCAUGCAACAUGAGAAAAGUCGUAUGAUUAACGUUUCUUCGCAAAUGGAUAUGGGAUAAGUGGAGGAAGAAAUGAGUGGAUGAAAGAACGUGAUAUGACUUAAAAAAAAAAAAAA